AUUGAACGCUGGCGGCAGGCCUAACACAUGCAAGUCGAACGGUAACAGGAAGAAGCUUGCUUCUUUGCUGACGAGUGGCGGGCGGGUGAGUAAUGUCUGGGAAACUGCCUGAUGGAGGGGGAUAACUACUGGAAACGGUAGCUAAUACCGCAUAACGUCGCAAGACCAAAGAGGGGGACUUUCGGGCCUCUUGCCUUCGGAUGUGACCAGAUGGGAUUAGCUAGUAGGUGGGGUAACGGCUAACCUAGGCGACGAUCCCUAGCUGGUCUGAGAGGAUGACCAGCCACACUGGAACUGAGACACGGUCCAGACUCCUACGGGAGGCAGCAGUAGGGAAUAUUGCGCAAUGGGCGAAAGCCUGAUGCAGCCAUGCCGCGUGUAUGAAGAAGGCCUUCGGAUUGUAAAGUACUUUCAGCGGGGAGGAAGGGAGGAAAGUUAAUACCUUUGCUCAUUGACGUUACCCGCAGAGGAAGCCCCGGCUAACUCCGUG
rnacentral:rRNA from 1 species